UUGUGAUCAACCCAAUUGCAGCACGCGUUCUGGACCGAGACACGUCCUUCCACGUGCACCGAAGAGCCUUCUGCCGUGAU
rnacentral:sRNA from 1 species